rnacentral:rRNA from 1 species
UACGAAGGGGGCUAGCGUUGCUCGGAAUGACUGGGCGUAAAGCGCGCGCAGGUGGUUUCUUAAGUCUGAUGUGAAAGCCCACGGCUCAACCGUGGAGGGUCAUUGGAAACUGGGGAACUUGAGUGCAGAAGAGGAAAGUGGAAUUCCAAGUGUAGCGGUGAAAUGCGUAGAGAUUUGGAGGAACACCAGUGGCGAAGGCGACUUUCUGGUCUGUAACUGACACUGAGGCGCGAAAGCGUGGGGAGCAAACAGG